GGAAGUGAGGCACCAAGAAGCAGUUUUCACAGCUAUGUAUUUCCUCUUUGUAGCGUGUCCCAGUUAAUGGUAUGGCAUCACCAGUGCUUUUCCUGGAGCCUUGAAGUUUGAGUGACUGUGGGCUGAUGGUUCCCUCCGUUCCCGUUCAUCCUAGGCGUCCACGUCUUACUUUUAUUAAAGUACAACAAGAUGUGAAGAACUACAAAGCUCACUCUGAGCACGAUUAAGUUGUCUUAAAUAAAGCCAAUUAUUAGUGAGUAAUUACCAUCUCUUUUCCAUCAUCUGCUCAUUAUUACUGGUGCC